rnacentral:rRNA from 1 species
GGGGCAGCAAUGUCACCGUCGCACGGGUGCGUAACGCGUAUGCAACCUACCUAUCACAGGGGGAUAGCCUUUGGAAACAGGGAUUAAUACCGCAUAAAGCAGGGGCUCCGCAUGGAGGUAUUGCUAAAGAUUUAUCGGUGAUAGAUGGGCAUGCGUCUGAUUAGUUAGAUGGUGGGGUAACGGCCUACCAUGGCGAUGAUCAGUAGGGGGCGUCAGAGCGUGGUCCCCCACACUGGCACUGAGAUACGGGCCAGACUCCUACGGGAGGCAGCAGUAGGGAAUAUUGGGCAAUGGAUGCAAGUCUGACCCAGCCAUGCCGCGUGAAGGAAGAAGGUCCUCUGGAUUGUAAACUUCUUUUGUCGGGGAAGAAGAGUCAUCUUGCGAGGUGAUGUGACGGUACCCGAUGAAUAAGCCACGGCUAACUACGUGCCAGCAGCCGCGGUAAUACGUAGGUGGCAAGCGUUGUCCGGAUUUAUUGGGUUUAAAGGGUGCGUAGGUGGUUUAAUAAGUCAGUGGUGAAAGCUGGUUGCUCAACAAUCAAGUUGCCAUUGAUACUGUUAGACUUGAGAGAAGUGGAGGCUGGUGGAAUGGAUGGUGUAGCGGUGAAAUGCAUAGAUAUCAUCCAGAACGUCAAUUGCGAAGGCAGCUGGCUGUACUUUUUCUGACACUGAGGCACGAAAGUGUGGGGAUCAAACAGGAUUAGAUACCCUGGUAGUCCACACUGUAAACGAUGCGAACUAGCU